rnacentral:rRNA from 1 species
AUUGAACGCUGGCGGCAGGCCUAACACAUGCAAGUCGAGCGGUAACAGGAAGAAGCUUGCUUCUUUGCUGACGAGUGGCGGACGGGUGAGUAAUGUCUGGGAAACUGCCUGAUGGAGGGGGAUAACUACUGGAAACGGUAGCUAAUACCGCAUAACGUCGCAAGACCAAAGAGGGGGACCUUCGGGCCUCUUGCCAUCGGAUGUGCCCAGAUGGGAUUAGCUAGUAGGUGGGGUAACGGCUCACCUAGGCGACGAUCCCUAGCUGGUCUGAGAGGAUGACCAGCCACACUGGAACUGAGACACGGUCCAGACUCCUACGGGAGGCAGCAGUGGGGAAUAUUGCACAAUGGGCGCAAGCCUGAUGCAGCCAUGCCGCGUGUAUGAAGAAGGCCUUCGGGUUGUAAAGUACUUUCAGCGGGGAGGAAGGGAGUAAAGUUAAUACCUUGGCUCAUUGACGUUACCCGCAGAAGAAGCACCGGCUAACUCCGUG